rnacentral:rRNA from 1 species
AGAGUUUGAUCCUGGCUCAGGACGAACGCUGGCGGCGUGCUUAACACAUGCAAGUCGAACGAUGAAGCCCUUCGGGGUGGAUUAGUGGCGAACGGGUGAGUAACACGUGGGCAAUCUGCCCUUCACUCUGGGACAAGCCCUGGAAACGGGGUCUAAUACCGGAUAACACUCCUCUGGGCAUCCAGGGGGGUUGAAAGCUCCGGCGGUGAAGGAUGAGCCCGCGGCCUAUCAGCUUGUUGGUGAGGUAGUGGCUCACCAAGGCGACGACGGGUAGCCGGCCUGAGAGGGCGACCGGCCACACUGGGACUGAGACACGGCCCAGACUCCUACGGGAGGCAGCAGUGGGGAAUAUUGCACAAUGGGCGAAAGCCUGAUGCAGCGACGCCGCGUGAGGGAUGACGGCCUUCGGGUUGUAAACCUCUUUCAGCAGGGAAGAAGCGAAAGUGACGGUACCUGCAGAAGAAGCGCCGGCUAACUACGUGCCAGCAGCCGCGGUAAUACGUAGGGCGCAAGCGUUGUCCGGAAUUAUUGGGCGUAAAGAGCUCGUAGGCGGCUUGUCGCGUCGGUUGUGAAAGCCCGGGGCUUAACCCCGGGUCUGCAGUCGAUACGGGCAGGCUAGAGUGUGGUAGGGGAGAUCGGAAUUCCUGGUGUAGCGGUGAAAUGCGCAGAUAUCAGGAGGAACACCGGUGGCGAAGGCGGAUCUCUGGGCCAUUACUGACGCUGAGGAGCGAAAGCGUGGGGAGCGAACAGGAUUAGAUACCCUGGUAGUCCACGCCGUAAACGGUGGGAACUAGGUGUUGGCGACAUUCCACGUCGUCGGUGCCGCAGCUAACGCAUUAAGUCCCCGCCUGGGGAGUACGGCCGCAAGGCUAAAACUCAAAGGAAUUGACGG